rnacentral:misc_RNA from 1 species
GAUGAAGAACGCAGCGAAAUGCGAUAAGUAGUGUGAAUUGCAGAAUUCAGUGAAUCAUCGAAUCUUUGAACGCACAUUGCGCCCCUUGGUAUCCCGAGGGGCAUGCCUGUUCGAGCGUCAUUUCACCACUCAAGCCUGGCUUGGUGUUGGGCGACGUCCUCUUUGGGGACGCGCCUCGAAACGCUCGGCGGCGUGGCACCGGCUUUAAGCGUAGCAGAAUCUUUCGCUUUGGAAGUCGGGGCCCCGUCUGCCGGAAGACCUGCUCGCAAGGUUGACCUCGAAUCAGGUAGGGAUACCCGCUGAACUUAAGCAUAUCAAUAAGCGGAGGA